rnacentral:misc_RNA from 1 species
AACACUAUAAUGAAUGUUGUUUGAUACGGAUGCUAAUGUUUAUUGAUAAACUUGUGUUUCAGAUAUAUCAUCGGGCCUAUCAUUGGUCUGGUCGUCCUAACCGUCUGUAUUGUUGUCGUCUGUAUCUGUCGAAGUAAGUCACGUGGCGUUUUGUAUAAUCUCCAUAGACUUUCCACUUGAGAAUUGCAGUAUGCUCCACAUGACCUAUUCUCUAAAUCAUGGCGAUGAAAAAAAAAUUACAAAUACACAAUAAAGUGACAAUUGGAUUUCAAGAUUUCAAAAUAACAUAUUAUUCUUGACAAAAUCAAGUAUAUGAAUGAUUUAGGUCGAGGAAAAUUUUCAUAAAAGGUUAAGGCUGGUUAUAUACGUGAUAUUUAUUUGAUAUAAAGUACAUAUAGGUCGAGGUUGCGUGAAUAUUUUUUCCAUUUUCUGU